GGCUCCAUAGUGGAGCGGGGAGCACGUCUGCUUUACACGCAGAAGGUCCUGGGUUCUCGCCCCAGUGGAGCCA
rfam:Pteropus alecto contig33170, whole genome shotgun sequence.